GCUGCAAGUAAUUAGAUAGUUAGCACAGGGACUUCCUUCCAAGUUGUGUGUAUGUAUAGAUAGUACAGGUUAAGGGAUUGCUGCAUGGUGGGAGCCGUUAGCGAGGCAAUUGUAUUUGAAUUGUCACCUCAGCAAAUAAAUCUAAGCAGCCUGUUGAGGAAAGUGUGCACAGAGAUUACUGCAGCGCUUCUCUAACAGAAAUGUGCGUUUUAUGGCUGUCUUGACCUGCCGGGUUAUAAAGGCUUUGGAAGGUACCGUGGGUUUGCCCCUAUCGGUACAGUGUGGGGCGUUACCUUUACAAGACGAGCUCUGUCUGCACUUCAUGAAGGAAGCUGAGACUCCACAAGUUGCACCAAAUGAAGAAAUAAAGAUCUGAAGCCGC